UUCUGUCUUUAAGACCUGCUUGUGAGCCUUCUGAAGAUGUAAGACCUUCAAAAGAGGGGCUGGGAGCUCUUUGCUGAAAUGACAACUGAACCGUGAAUGAAUAUCUGACCCCUUGAAGUCAAAACAGAAGUCCUUUUCUCUUCAGAACUUCACCCAUCAUGUUCCAGUGCUUCUCAAGCCAAGAGGGAGUGUUUCUCCAUUGGUGGUUUGGAUCUGCAAAAAAAU
rnacentral:lncRNA from 1 species